rnacentral:rRNA from 1 species
GAUAAACGCUGGCGGCGCACAUAAGACAUGCAAGUUGAACGGACUUAAUCGAAAUAUUUAUAUUUUGAAGCGGUUAGUGGCGGACUGGUGAGUAACGCGUAAGGAACCUGCCUAUUAGAGGGGAAUAACAGUGAGAAAUCAUUGCUAAUACCGCAUAUGCCAUAGAUAUCACAUGAUAACAGUGGGAAAGGAGCAAUCCGCUAAUAGAUGGCCUUGCGUCUGAUUAGAUAGUUGGUGGGGUAACGGCCUACCAAGUCGACGAUCAGUAGCCGGACUGAGAGGUUGAACGGCCACAUUGGGACUGAGAUACGGCCCAGACUCCUACGGGAGGCAGCAGUAGGGAAUAUUGCGCAAUGGAGGAAACUCUGACGCAGUGACGCCGCGUAUAGGAAGAAGGUUUUCGGAUUGUAAACUAUUGUCGUUAGGGAAGAGAAAGGACAGUACCUAAGGAGGAAGCUCCGGCUAACUACGUG